rnacentral:rRNA from 1 species
AGAGUUUGAUCCUGGCUCAGGAUGAACGCUAGCGGCAGGCUUAACACAUGCAAGUCGAGGGGUAACGAUGGCUUCGGCCAGGCGACGACCGGCGCACGGGUGCGUAACGCGUAUGCAACUUACCUCUAACUGAAGCAUAGCCCGAAGAAAUUCGGAUUAAUACUUCAUAAUAUCCUAAAUUCGCAUGUUUUUAGGAUUAAAGCUCCGGCGGUUAGAGAUAGGCAUGCGUGCCAUUAGUUUGUUGGUGAGGUAACGGCUCACCAAGACUGCGAUGGCUAGGGGGUCUGAGAGGAUGAUCCCCCACACUGGUACUGAGACACGGACCAGACUCCUACGGGAGGCAGCAGUGAGGAAUAUUGGUCAAUGGGCGCAAGCCUGAACCAGCCAUGCCGCGUGCAGGAUGAAUGCCCUACGGGUUGUAAACUGCUUUUCUACAGGAAGAAACUCUCGAACGUGUUCGGGACUGACGGUACUGUAGGAAUAAGCAUCGGCUAACUCCGUGCCGGCAGCCGCGGUAAUACGGAGGAUGCAAGCGUUAUCCGGAUUUAUUGGGUUUAAAGGGUGCGUAGGCGGAAUAAUAAGUCAGUGGUGAAAUCCUGCGGCUCAACCGUAGAACUGCCAUUGAUACUGUUAUUCUUGAGUAUAGUUGAGGUGGGCGGAAUGUGUAAUGUAGCGGUGAAAUGCUUAGAUAUUACACAGAACGCCAAUUGCGAAGGCAGCUCACUAAGCUGUUACUGACGCUGAGGCACGAAAGCGUGGGGAGCGAACAGGAUUAGAUACCCUGGCAGUCCACGCUGUAAACGAUGAUCACUCGUUGUUGGCGAUACACUGUCAGCGACUGAGCAAAAGCAUUAAGUGAUCCACCUGGGGAGUACGGUCGCAAGAUUGAAACUCAAAGGAAUUGACGGGGGCCCGCACAAGCGGAGGAACAUGUGGUUUAAUUCGAUGACAACGCGAAGAACCUUACCUGGAUUUGACAUCUCGGGAAUCCCUUGGAAACUUGGGAGUGCCCUUCGGGGAACCUGAAGACAGGUGCUGCAUGGCUGUCGUCAGCUCGUGUCGUGAGAUGUUGGGUUAAGUCCCGCAACGAGCGCAACCCUUAUCUUUAGUUACCAGCAUUUCGGAUGGGGACUCUAGAGAUACUGCCCCGGUUAACGGGGAGGAAGGUGGGGAUGACGUCAAGUCCUCAUGGCCUUUAUAUCCAGGGCUACACACGUGCUACAAUGGGCGGUACAAAGAGUCGCGAGCCUGCGAAGGUUAGCUAAUCUCAUAAAGCCGUCCUAAGUUCGGAUUGGAGUCUGCAACCCGACUCCAUGAAGCUGGAAUCGCUAGUAAUCGUGGAUCAGCAUGCCACGGUGAAUACGUUCCCGGGCCUUGUACACACCGCCCGUCACACCAUGAGAGUUGAUUGUACCGGAAGUUGUCGGGCCAACCUUUCGAGGAGGCAGGCACCUAUGGUAUGAUUGAUGAUUGGGGUGAAGUCGAAACAAGGUA